AAGCGUCGUAAGGUCGCCGUGAUUGUGGAAGUGUCUAACUCCGCACCAGGAUGUUAUAGGGCGCUAAGUUUUAACCAUAAGUGGUAAAUGAUAUUAACAGUUAUCUGUGACAAAUACCCUCACACGGGACAACUUAUAAUUACAGAGCAGAAAAAGCAAAGAGAAACCAAAGUUACUAGCAGUUUCCGCCGGUGUGAGAACACAGUUGAAGCUGAACCGCUGUUGGUAAGCCUUGGUGUCAAUUUAGCGUCAAGUUAGCAUGCUAAGCUAGGUGCUAGCCCCGGAUAAAUUGAUUUUGGAAUGAGAGAGUGCAGCAUAAACUCCUGUGGACAUGGCAGCGGGAGCUGGAACCGCGUCCGGUACAUCUCUGGAGGCAACACUAGAGAAGAGGUUUCGAAAUGUGACCAACACGAUGGACUCAAUUCAAGGACUGUCAACAUGGUGCCUAGACAACAAGAAGUACCACAGUCUCAUUGUGCGACACUGGAUGAAGUGUUUAAGAAAAUCUAACGCCCCCCACAGGCUCAACCUGCUGUACCUCGCCAAUGAUGUCAUUCAGAACUGCAAACGGAAAAACGCCAUUGUUUAUCGCACCGCGUUUGCCGAAGUGUUGCCAGACGCCUUCUUGCUGGUUAAUCAAGAGGGUGACCCCAAGGUGAUCCGAUCUGUGGAGAGAAUUCUGUCCAUUUGGGAAGAGAGGGAUGUGUAUUCAGGAACACUGAUUACAGAUCUUAGGAACACCUUGGUUAAAGAGGAGUCCCCCCCUGAGACGCCUGUGGAGCAGAACACUCCAGUUGAGUCCAAAGCAGAUCUGCAGUCCAAGAUUGUUGCUGAGUUUGUGCCGCAGGCAUUCAUAGACCAGCUGUCCAAGUACAAGAGAUCUCUGGAGGAGGUUGAUCUCAGAGAAAAACAGCUGGCUGCUAUGAGGGUUGACAUCUUCAGUUCUGAAGCUCUCAAGAAACUCAAAGAUAAAGCAGGAGGAAAGAAGUUCUCCAAGGACUUUGAGGAGGGAAGUGCACAGAUGCAGGAGUUUGUGAAGUUCUUUGACAAACAAAACAAAAUCGGUCCUCCGCUUCUAGAAGCACUCAGCAACGCAGACAUCUUCUAUGAACUGCAGUACAAAGAGGUCAAGAUUGUUGCAAAUGCUUACCAAACGUUUGCAAACCGAGUGUCCCACCUCAAACGUAAGCUGGACGCUCUGAAAGCCACCUUACCAGACCUGGACGAGUCGCCCAUCCCAUCACCUUCUGCCGAUGCGCCCUCUCCCACGGGAUCAGAGUCCCCUUUUCAUGGCAUGGAAUUGGCCCAUCCUGACCCCGAGCUCGACGGUUCGGCUAUGGAUGACGAUGCAGAACCCCCUGCACCAAGCCCCCUGUCAUCACCGGGAGGAUCCCCCCAGUAUGCGGACACUCUUGGAGAGAUUGACAAUUGCGAAGUGGAGGACAUGGAGCUCUCUGAGGAGGAGACGGGCAAUGGUGGUAUUAUAGUUGAGGAGCAAAUUGAAUCCGUAUGCCUACCAGAGGUGUCUGGUCCAAUUCCUGCCAAAAGUAAGGCAUCGGUAACGGAGUCAGCUGUGCUCCAGGCCACACCGUCUGCAGCCGCUCCUGCAGCCAUCCCUGCAGCCGUUCCUGCAGUCGCUCCUGCAACCGUUCCUGCAGCCGCUCCUGCAGCCGUUCCUGCAGCCAUUCCUGCAGCCGCCAUUGAAAGUGUGGACAUGAGUAAAAUCAGCUCCAUACUCAGCAGUAUUACUCCAGGCCUGAAUAGCACAGGGUUGGUGGAGUUUCCUGCAGCUGCUCCUGUUAUGUCGUCGGUGAAGCCCAAACCCGUGGCUCCGGUCAUCCCACAGGAUGCCACUUCUUUGGUCAGCCUGCUCUCCAAGGUGGAUGUGAGUCCUGCAGACCUCCUCAGUGCUCUGUCUAAAGUUCAGAGCCAAAGCAGUCUGAAGGGAAUCACUUCUCUCCUGUCACCAAAUGUUGACUCAGACUCACCCCCUGCAGACAAGAGUAUGCCCUCAUCCUCAUCCACAUCCUCCUCAGUAGUUCCCUCUCAGCCCACGUCUCCCUCCUUCAGAGCGUUUGUGCCUCCUUCAACCAAACCUGCUGUGCAGCAGAUCUCCAGCGCUCCAGCAACUCCAGAAACCUUGAAUAAAGCCUCCGCCCUGGUCCAGGCUCUUCACAGAGACAUGGAUCUGACUACAGAGCAGGAGCCGUCUUCUUCUUCCUCCAGUUUAGAGUCUAAAAUCCAUAACUUCCUGCAGGGAAACCCUGCUUUCAGCGCUUUUGACCUGAAAUUUUCAGCAAUUCCAGUUCAAGGUGCAGCUAACAUCAGCCCAGUAACUGGGACAGAGAACCAAGUUGGGACUCCGGUUAGGGAUGAAGGAGGAGGCACUCCGACUCAAGAUGAGAUCAUGGACAAGCCGGUGGCGGUCCCGAUCACCUCAGGUCUGAACCAGUCAGCUGCUGGUGAAGCCAUCCAGAAAGCGUCCGUUAUGUUUGAGAACCCCAACAAUCCCUUUCAUCCAGCUCCCCCACUGCCGGGUGUGGCUCAGAACGGCCAGCGCUUCCAGGCAUUCCCAUACAGCAAACAGGAAGUGUUAGAUGGAGGGAUGGCUGCACCUGUUGCACUUUAUCAGCAGCUCUCUGUGCAGGUGGGCGGGAACACGACUGGACACAGAGCUCCAGGCGGCGCAAGCGGCACACCGACAGCUGAAGGCUUUAGAGGAGUGAAUGAACUGAGUCGUUUUGGUGAUGGUUACCCAGUGGGGGGCUCCCAGCCACCUGGUGGCUACGGUGUGUUGGUGCCUGGAGGGGGUGGAGAAAACAAAACAUCCGGACUUUAUCCGUACCCAGCAGAGCAAGGUCGGGAGCCUCAGCAGGGCUUCACUGCAUCCCCUUCUUUCUUUAAAAACACCCUCCCUCCUGUCCCAAAGUUACCCCCUCCCCCUCCCUUUGAUGUCCUGUCUUCAUUAACCAGUGGGGUGAUGCGUCCCCCAGAGCAGGAAUCCGUUCCCAGUCCAGGUAUGGGAGGGGUAGUUGGGAACAGAAUGGACAGCAUCAUUAGUGGGAUGGUCGUUCAUGACCAUCAGCACAAGUCCUCUCAUCCAGAUGACCCGUUCUACGACUCAAAUCGCCCGCUGCACCUCGAAGACCCAUACCCCCACCCAGAUAAUGACCUGCAAUACCAGGAGGACCUUGAGCGUUACCAUGGUGACAACAGGCAGCACGAUCCUCAUUUCUUUCACAACGACCCUUACUAUCCUCCUGACGAUGCAUUUUUCAGGCCAGGAAGUCCGCCACACCCUCACCAGAGAGUCCGAGGGCAGCUCACCCCCCCGCUUUCACCCUCAGGGGAUCCUUACUUUUCUCACGACUAUCAGCAGCGCAGCCCCCCUCCUCACCCGCACUACGCACCUCGGCGACCGCCGCCGCCUCAUCAUGAAAUCCACCGUCCUGGUCUGCGGCCCCCACAUCGGCCUCCCCGCCCAGGACUGAACCCACACCCCAGAGGACCACCUCGCCAGCCAUUCCCUCGGUUCCGCGGCCCUGAACCGAGGCUAAGAGGAAAGCGCGCGGGUCCAAGAGGGGGAGGUCCGAUGUUUCUGCCGAAAAGACCGUUUUUACCGCCGAGGUUCUGACAGAAUUAAGAACGAGACCACAUUCUGCCCCACAAAGCCUCUGAAAGGGUGAAAGUAGCCGGCUAAACUGUUCCAGCGGCCAUCGGAGGACUCCCAGAAGGAAAGGAAUAAUUGAGAAGAAUAAAGGAGGUUCAGAGGGUAGACGGCUUCACGUCAGGAAAAACGCCGAGCUGAAGAGUGAAGACCGAAGAUUAAAGAAAAUAAAAGCCCUCCAUCCCCCCCUCCUGCUCUCAUCCUCAGGGAUCCAGAGCCACUUUGAUGUGUCUGAUGUGAUAGAAGAGCUCUCCCACAUGUUGGUCUGAUGAUGAUGGAGGUGGAGAAGGAAAGGAGGGAGGCUCUUUGAAUCCUGCCCCGCUCUCGGUGAUGGUUCUUCACGGUCUGUUAUGAAUGCCGUGCACCGUGGCAGCUGAGUAAGCUCCGAGUUUUUAAUACUUCACACACCACAGGAAGUGUCACCGGCGGGGAGUCAAAACAAUCGAUACACACAUGGAGGGGGAUAAAAUGUUGGAUCGUGUGUGUCUCCGUUUCCCUGUAGGUGUUAGUUUAGGAGGGAAGGCAGUAAGUUGUUUGUGAAAUAAAGUUUUACUACAAAUCAGAAAAAACACGAUUCUGUUGUGAUUUAUUUACAACUAGCAGCGUGUCUGACGUUUUUCCAAGUUGGAUACAUGAGCUAAAGGCUAAUAGCUAAUUUCCACAGUACAUUUCUAUUAUUGUUCUGAAUGCAAAGAAAUAAUAGGGUCUUGUGUGAACUUAAUUCUGUAAAACUUCACUAAAAAAAACGUCACUCUUGUUGGUUCACUUUAGACAAUUAUUUCGUCAGAAAAGUAUAGAUUUAUGACAGGAAGUGUAACGCAUCAAACCGGAAGCUAUACAUAUCUAGUUCUCCACUAAUUUCUAGUACAAGUAAUAAAAUCCUUUGUAAAUGACCAUGUGAUGUUGAUUUAUCAACAGCAACUUUGUGUUCAUUAACUGCUUUAACUGUUUUGAGAUUUUAAAAAGGAUAGUAGUUUUAAUUUUUGAGCUGGCCCUGCAGUAGCUAGCUGUUAGCUUAUCCAAUCAGAACUCAUGUUUUCUGAAUAGAAGAUGUUCAAAGCAUUAACUCUUAACAGUUAAGGUAAUAAUUGUUUGUAAACUUUUAAAGGGGCACUAUGGAAGUUUGACAGCCAAAACAUGUGUAGAAAUAAUAAAUUUCUUCUUCAUACAUUCUCAUGCAAUGCCCUGGUCCUGUAGAAUGAGCCCUGGCAUUUUUACUGUGAUUGCCCGUUUUUCUGUAAAAUCACAGAAAAAGAGAGAUGCUCUGGUCGAGCAGGCUGCUGCAUGCGCGUUCACGCUCAGGCAUAGUCCAUAGCACUUGCUAUCCGUAGCUUUAGCAGCAGAGAGAGAGAGGUAGUGCCAACUCAGCGACUUUGUCUCUGUUCCUAACGCCUAGUGAUGAACCUAGCUACAUUUCUGAGGACCCUUAGCUACUUUCUUCUAGAUAUUUCCUGCAAAUUAGCAACAAAAUAGCCAUUUUUGCUCCGAACCUUUCUUUGAACAUUGUUUCAGCUGUCAUCAAGGAUAUAAAUAUUACAGAUACAGAUACUGGUGUUAUAGCUCACCUAGUAAAACGUUGGACUCUCGUGUGGAAUUCUGGAUGUGAACAGAGUGUAUUUGUUACAUUAAUGGUAUUUUUUUUACAGUAAGAUGUCCAAAUUUUUAUUUGAGACUUGCUGAACGGCAUUGAAUUCACAGAUAAAAAAGAUGUAGGUUCAACUUUCCUUUUGGAACAAUUUUUCAAGCAAGGGAAGGGAAUGAUCUGAGCAUGCAGGAGGACUGACCCAUCUUAAACCUUUGUCGGCUGUGCUGAAGAGAAAGGUACAUAACCAAAUUAUUUAAUUAAUUAGCUGCACA